UACAGGGGGUGCAACCGUUGCUCGGAAUUAUUGGGCGUAAAGCGCGCGUAGGCGGCUAUCUAAGUCGGAUGUGAAAGCCCCUGGCUUAACCGGGGAAGUGCACCCGAAACUGGGUAGCUAGAGUGCAAAAGAGGGUCGCGGAAUUCCCAGUGUAGAGGUGAAAUUCGUAGAUAUUGGGAGGAACACCGGUGGCGAAGGCGGCGACCUGGGUUGACACUGACGCUGAGGCGCGAAAGCGUGGGGAGCAAACAGG
rnacentral:rRNA from 1 species